GAUGAACGCUGGCGGCGUGCCUAAUACAUGCAAGUCGAGCGAACGGACGAGAAGCUUGCUUCUCUGAUGUUAGCGGCGGACGGGUGAGUAACACGUGGAUAACCUACCUAUAAGACUGGGAUAACUUCGGGAAACCGUAGCUAAUACCGGAUAAUAUUUUGAACCGCAUGGUUCAAAAGUGAAAGACGGUCUUGCUGUCACUUAUAGAUGGAUCCGCGCUGCAUUAGCUAGUUGGUAAGGUAACGGCUUACCAAGGCAACGAUGCAUAGCCGACCUGAGAGGGUGAUCGGUCACACUGGAACUGAGACACGGUCCAGACUCCUACGGGAGGCAGCAGUAGGGAAUAUUCCGCAAUGGGCGAAAGCCUGACGGAGCCACGCCGCGUGAGUGAUGAAGGUCUUCGGAUCGUAAAACUCUGUUAUUAGGGAAGAACAUAUGUGUAAGUAUCUGUGCACAUCUUGACGGUACCAACUCAGAAAGCCACGGCUAGCUACGUG
rnacentral:rRNA from 1 species